rnacentral:rRNA from 1 species
GUCUCCAGCCUGCUACCCUGAACAAGCCUGACCCUGUCUGAUCUUGGAAGCUAAUCAGGGUCAGGCCUGGUUAGUACUUGGAUGGGAGACCACCCAAAAAGAUCAGGUGCUGUAGGCG